GAGAUUGUUAGCUAGUUCACACCGAUAUACCAAGUGAUAGCCACGAAGACUGAAUCUGUGAACAGUUUUAGCAGUAUAAGAUAAUUAUUAACGACAGAAGCAUUAUUAAAAAAAACGGCGAGAGUUAGUCAUACAAAAUUCGGUAAACCCCAUCAACGUGGGGUGUUUGCGUAGGCUGGAAAAGCGCAUGAACCUGCUGUCACCCGGCGUGCUAGCGUCGCGGGCGCAACCCGAAUCUCAAUAUUGUUGGCGCAAGGAGAACCACGUGUGAGAAGCAAUGUUAAACCCGCUUCUCUAACUGCUCGAAUUCGUCUGAACAUAACCCGAGCUGCUUGAAAACGCCUGCUGGUCCCGCUAAACCACUGGCUGCGUGAUCUCCACAUUCAAGCCGUGCUCCGACCGUUGCACGUGGUCAACAAUCGAAUCGGGCCGAAAGUCCUCACAACGUAAAGUUCACCACUCGCUUCACCGUACCUACUGUGACCGCCGAUAUACACCGCCUACAUCGAGAUCGUGAAGGAUCGCCGUUGGAGAUUGUGGCAAGUACUGUACCAAGAAAAAAAGAAGACCAUAGUGUUACGCUAGGUGAAAACCAUGUACUCAGGCUUAGGCUAGGUUGCAUACCUGCAGGUAGAAUAUAGAAGAGCUCUUAACGGUUAACUAAAUAUACCUUCUUCGCUAAAGUGAUCGAUUCAAAUAUUAGCUGUAAAUUUCGAUGAUUUGCUAGAGGCCCAAGAAUUAUCUUUCGAAUCGGUGUCCAUAAGUUGGUCGUUCGGAU